GAGCCUCUCUCCAUCUAGGUAAAUAACUCUAAGAUCGUGUCAGCCAACCCACCCUGCCACCUCUCCCCACAGGGUAGCGGGUAAGAAUCAAGGCAGUAGCUGGGUGAGAAAGGACCAGAGAAGCUGGGAUCCUGCCAGCUGCUCCCUGACAUGAUCUGGUCUCUGGGAUGGUAAAUGCUAGUGUUCCCAGUCACUGAUUUAUCAAGGGUCUUCCUGCUCUUUCACUUCUGCCACUGGAGAGGUGUCCUGGGGCAGCCUUCCUUAAUAGCUCCUCAACUUCCCAGGCAGGCCCUUUGCCUUUUGUCCCUGUUAACAGAGGAAGUAUCUACCACCUGUUCAAUAAUUGCCAAAUGCUGGGAACCUUGGGGACAAAGAUGAAUUUCUUCUAGAUUACGUGGUUAGUCUCUGGAUUCAUGAGCGAGAGGCUGAGCACUUUGAUUAUGUAAGAGCAAUGGCUUUUCAUGAACUUAGGUGCAGGGGUUGAAGGCCAUUUCCUAUUAGGCUUCUGGCCAGUCAGGGCAGAGUGCAGGGCAUACAGAGAGCGCUGUCAUUCAACUGUCUGCAGAGAGGACAGGACGCAGGCCGCAAGCACACCGUAGCACAGUACAAGGAAGACAAAGGGCUAACCACACCACAGGGCUGCAAAAAGCAAACAUGGUUAACCCAGUUCAGCCCUGACAGUCUCCAAGAUGAAUAAACAGCCUAUGGUGUUCCCUCAAUCAUGUAGUGAUUCAUACUAAUCAUUAAUACCAGGAAAAACUACUGCUUCUGGUAUAUUACAUUUUAAAAAAUAUCUGCAUCAGCUACAUAAACGGUAGCUCAAAAACAUGUUCUCUUUCUAAAAGGAAAAGAACUUAAAUUUAUAAGAGAGUAGGAAAUGGCCCUCUCUCCUGCUCACACAGGGUGAGAUGGAAUGGAACAUCAACUACAUAAAAACACCAAAAUUCACAGCUCCUUUUUGCAGCCCCCAUCCUGGAUGCCUCAGGCCCAUCUGUCUGCAUGAUUGCAGAUUUGAGGCAGAGCCAUGGCCAGAUCAGCCACACCCACAUUCACCGGCCACACCCACAUUCACCGGCCACACCCACAUUUACCAGCCACACCCACAUUCACCGGCCACACCCACAUUCACCGGCCACACCCGCAUUCACCAGCCACAUCCGCUUGCAGAAAGUUGGCAGAUGCAAUGCCUACCACCAGCCACUGCUAAGAACCCCUCAGGAAUCCAAAUGUGCUGGCAACUGGGCACACUCAGGGUUGCUAAAGCCCUAGGCAACAACAGGACAUCAAACACAUACAGCUUUAUUCACUGAGCCUUUUCCCCCUUUCUUAAAAAUGUUGUAGUAUGCCAACAAUAACCAAAGGAUAGCUUAUUAUAGUCUAAGCCACUUGCACAAUAAUAAUAUCUAUUCAUUAUUCUGUAACUCAGUAAAUAAACACAGAUUGUAAAAGCAAAAUUUAUAAGCAGAGAAAUGGAAAGUCAGAGCACAUUAGAAAACAUAAAUAAUUUACAAGCGAUUACUACUUAUAAUUUUUUUUCUGCUAAGUUUUGAGGGAGAGCCAUUUCAUAAUAAUUAUGGACUUCAAGGUUCAUUUCUCCUUUUCCAAUAGCACCCUUUCUUUUACUGUAUUAAGAGAAUACAUCUAGGCUGUUUUAAAAUGCUGCAAGUAGCAUGGUGGAUCAAACCCAUAAUCCCAGCACUUUGGGAAACCGAGACAAGAGGAUUUGUUUGAACUUAGUUCUAGACCAGGCUGGGCAACAUAGUGAGACCCUGUAUCUACCAAAAAAAAAAAAAAAA
rnacentral:lncRNA from 1 species